rnacentral:rRNA from 1 species
GACGUAGGGCGCGAGCGUUGUCCGGAUUUAUUGGGCGUAAAGAGCUCGUAGGCGGCUUGUCGCGUCGUCCGUGAAAACCCACAGCUCAACUGUGGGCUUGCGGUCGAUACGGGCAGGCUAGAGUUCGGUAGGGGAGACUGGAAUUCCUGGUGUAGCGGUGAAAUGCGCAGAUAUCAGGAGGAACACCGGUGGCGAAGGCGGAUCUCUGGGCCUUACCUGACGCUCAGGUGCGAAAGCGUGGGGAGCGAACAGG